ACCUUACCAGGGUUUGACAUGCAAGUGGUAGGGAACCGAAAGGUGACCGACCCCUCGGGGAGCUUGCACAGGUGCUGCAUGGCUGUCGUCAGCUCGUGUCGUGAGAUGUCCGGUUAAGUCCGCUAACGAGCGCAACCCUCGCYGUGUGUUACAAGUGUCACACGGGACUGCCGGUCUUAAGCCGGAGGAAGGUGGGGAUGACGUCAAGUCAGCAUGGCCUUUAUGCCCUGGGCUACACACACGCUACAAUGGCCAGCACAAUAGGUUGCUAAGCCGCGAGGUGGAGCCAAUCCUCAAAGUUGGUCUCAGUUCAGAUUGUAGGCUGCAACUCGCUGCAUGAAGUGGAGUUGCUAGU
rnacentral:rRNA from 1 species